rnacentral:rRNA from 1 species
AGAGUUUGAUCAUGGCUCAGAAACGAACGCUGGCGGCAUUGCCUAACACAUGCAAGUCGAACGCUUUUGGGGUUUCGGCCUCAAGGGAGUGGCGCACGGGUGAGUAGCGCGUGGGAACCUGCCCUGUUGUGGGGGAUAACCGAGGGAAACUUCGGCUAAUACCGCAUGCGCCCGGGGAAACCCGGGGAAAGAUUUUAUCGCAGCAGGAGGGGCCCGCGUCGGAUUAGCUAGUUGGUGGGGUAACGGCCUACCAAGGCGGCGAUCCGUAGCUGGUCUGAGAGGAUGAUCAGCCACACUGGGACUGAGACACGGCCCAGACUCCUACGGGAGGCAGCAGUGGGGAAUAUUGGACAAUGGGCGCAAGCCUGAUCCAGCAAUGCCGCGUGAGUGAUGAAGGCCUUAGGGUUGUAAAGCUCUUUCGCCCGCGACGAUGAUGACGGUAGCGGGAGAAGAAGCCCCGGCUAACUUCGUGCCAGCAGCCGCGGUAAUACGAAGGGGGCGAGCGUUGUUCGGAUUUACUGGGCGUAAAGGGCGCGUAGGCGGCGGGCCAAGUCGAGUGUGAAAGCCCCGGGCUCAACCUGGGAGGUGCGCUCGAGACUGGUUUGCUGGAGUUCGGGAGAGGAGCGUGGAAUUCCCAGUGUAGAGGUGAAAUUCGUAGAUAUUGGGAAGAACACCGGUGGCGAAGGCGGCGCUCUGGACCGAGACUGACGCUGAGGCGCGAAGGCGUGGGGGAGCAAACAGGAUUAGAUACCCCGGUAGUCC